UCGUGAGUGGCAUCUUGGCUGACUUUUUCCUCAACAAGAAAUAUCUCACAGCCACCGUGGUCAGAAAAAUACUCAUCGGCGUCGGUUUCGGACUUGUAUGCGUGGGUUUCCUGGUACUGACCACUCUGUCGGGCGGCUUAGCUGUUAUCAUAGUCCUCACUAUGUCUCUCGGCGCGUUCGGUCUAGCCGUGUCAGGUUGGUCAGUUAAUCAUUACGACAUCUCAACCCAGCGUCCUUGUUGCGGUGACCGCGACCUCUGGAUCCAUCGGAUCCAUCCUUGUUCCCAUAGUAACCGGCUACCUGACCGUUAAACAGGACCUUGCUGGUUGGGCCCACGUGUUCUACCUCACUGCAGGAAUCAUAAUGCUGGCAACCAUCUUCUAUCUAAUCUUUGGCUCCGGCAAAACCCAGAUGUGGUCCAACCCUACAUCAAACUUCUGCCUCGUUGAAAAAAUGACCCUUUGGCCAAAAAAUCGUACAGUGCCAUCCAGGUUCAAAACUGCCCGCCCUGUACCUAUGUGGAUAAACCGGUAGGACAACACAGUAAAAUCAUGGCGACUCAACCUAAUACAAGUUUACCAUCAGUUGCAAACGUUGAUGGUUUGGAAAGUGUGGAAAGUCAGACAGAAAGGAGAAUGUAUAAUAUGAUGAUGAGUCAAAUGAUGUUGAUGAUAGUGGAUAAAUGGAGGCUACUUUGCAAUCUUUGCCAGGUGAAGAAAUGAUACCAAGAAAGAGUAUUAUAAUGAAGCUAAACAAGCUCUUCAAACGGAGAUCAACUUUCCUUUGAAUGAACAUUCGUGUAUGAGGGGAUGAAAUGGUUAUGUAAUUGCGUUUAUAUGUAACAGUCAUUUCUUUCCACGAAGUCUUAUUUUGUAAGAGAGAAGUGUUAUAUAUUAUUGUUGAAGUUUUUUUAAUAUAAGUUGCAUUUUAAAAACAAUCAGGCAAUUAUAUUUGUUUAAACCAUUUUUUAAACUAGUGUAUUG